rnacentral:rRNA from 1 species
CCUACGGGUGGCAGCAGUGGGGAAUAUUGGGCAAUGGGCGCAAGCCUGACCCAGCAACGCCGCGUGAAGGAAGAAGGCUUUCGGGUUGUAAACUUCUUUUAAGAGGGAAGAGCAGAAGACGUUCUCUCUUGAAUAAGCCACGGCUAACUACGUGCCAGCAGCCGCGGUAAUACGUAGGUGGCAAGCGUUGUCCGGAUUUACUGGGUGUAAAGGGCGUGCAGCCGGGAAGACAAGUCAGAUGUGAACUCCCGGGGCUCAACCGCGGAACUGCAUUUGAAACUGUUUUGCUUGAGUCCCGGAGAGGUCAUCGGAAUUCCUUGUGUAGCGGUGAAAUGCGUAGAUAUAAGGAAGAACACCAGUGGCGAAGGCGGAUGACUGGACGGCAACUGACGGUGAGGCGCGAAAGCGUGGGGAGCAAACAGGAUUAGAUACCCUAGUAGUC